rnacentral:rRNA from 1 species
UACGUAGGGUGCGAGCGUUAAUCGGAAUUACUGGGCGUAAAGCGUGCGCAGGCGGUUCGUUGUGUCGGUGGUGAAAUCCCCGGGCUUAACCUGGGAAUGGCAUUUGGGACUGCAAGGCUUGAGUGCGGCAGAGGAGACUGGAAUUCCUGGUGUAGCAGUGAAAUGCGUAGAUAUCAGGAGGAAUACCGAUGGCGAAGGCAGGUCUCUGGGCUGACACUGACGCUCAUGCACGAAAGCGUGGGGAGCAAACAGG